UUGUGGAUGUCUGUCUGGAGUGCGUGUGGUGAGCAUGUUGUUGUCUCACCUGAGACUCAUCCUCAAUCAGCGCACCUGACCUGUGUUCCACAAUCAGCCACUGCCUAAAUAGGAGGCUCAGACAUCCAGUCCUCGCUGGAUUGUUGAAUCUCCAUGCAAGACCUCCACGGCCUCAGCGAACUGCCAGCCAGUAAGCUCUCGGUUCUGCCCGCAGCCUGGACACUUCCCCGCUCUCGGAUUUCCCCCCAACCCUGGACCUGGGAGAGAGCCUCAGCC